rnacentral:lncRNA from 1 species
UGAUAGCUAAGCUCACCCGCAUGACAAAAUACAUGAAAAUACAAAAAGGUCCCUACUACAAAGACUACUCAAAACGCCUUGAAAUACAAGGCUAAAACCCUAUACUACUAGAAUGGCCAAAAUACAAGGCCCAAAAGAAGAAAAAAACCUAUUCUAAUAUUUACAAAGAAGAGUGGACCCAACCUUGGCCCAUGGGCUCAAAAAUCUACCCUAAGGUUCAUGAGAACCCCAAGGCCUUCUUUAUCAGCUCUAGCCCAAUCCUCUUGGAGCCUCUUGCUCAUGGCUCUGGUAAUUGGUCCUUUCCUAGGGAGGAUUGCAUCAUCCCCUCCCCCUUGAAGAGGAUUUGACCUCAAAUCUGUUGGUUCCUCUUCCUCUAUAUCAGCUCCACCUGCAAAAGGAAUUAAAUCAGAAAUAUUAAAAGUGGUGCUGAUUCCAUACUCUCUUGGGAGGUCCAACCUAUAGGCAUUAUUAUUAAUCCUCUCCAAGACCUGAAAAGGUCCAUCCCCUCUAGGGCUAAGCUUGGAUUUCCUUUUAGUAGGGAAUCUAUCCUUCCUAAGAUGGAGCCAAACCCAGUCCCCCUCAUUAAGAACUAGCUCAUUUCUUCCUCUAUUGCCCUUAGUUGAAUACACCUUUGUUUGGUUCUCUAUUUGGGUCUUAACCCUUUCAUGAAACUUCUUUAGAAACUCUGACCUAGAUUCCCCUUCUUUAUGUAUAAAAGAAGUGUCAAGUGGAAGGGGAAUGAGGUCUAAGGGUGUUAAGGGAUUGAACCCAUAGACAACCUCAAAAGGGUAUUGCUUGGUGGUUCUAUGAAACCCCCCUGUUGUAGGCAAAUUCUACAUGAGGAAGAUACUCAUCCCAAGACUUAUGGUUGCCUUUUAGAAGAGCCCUUAAAAGGGUGGAUAAAGACCUAUUCACUACCUCUGUUUGCCCAUCAGUUUGUGGAUGACAAGUGGUAGAUAAAAGAAGCUUAGUUCCUAGCUUAGCCCAUAAUGUUUUCCAGAAGUGGCUAAGGAACUUAAACUUCCCUAAAAAAGAGUUUUGAGAUAUGGGAAGCAUCAUCCACCUUGUGGCAUGGUAUAAAGUGUGCCAUCUUGCUAAACCUAUCCACCACCAUAAAGAUAGAGUCUACACCUCUUUGGGUUCUAGGGAUCCCAAGGACAAAGUCCAUACUAAUGUCUACCCAAGGUGCAGAUGGAAUGGGUAAGGGUGUGUAUAGCCCAUGAGGCAUCACCCUAGACUUGGCUUGUAAACAAGCCACACACCUAGUGCAAUGCUUAUGGACAUAUUUCUUCAUAUGGGGCCAAUAAAAAUUUUUUUUGAGUAAGACAAGGGUCUUGUCUAUCCCAAAGUGGCCCAUGAGCCCACCCUCAUGGCUCUCCUUCACAAGUAAUUUCCUGAUGGUUCCUUGGGGUAUGCAAAGCUUUCCUUCUUUGAACAAAUACCCCUCAGCCAAAUAGAAUCCAUCUUGGGCCUUUUUCCCAUAACUCUUGUAAAUGGGAGAGAAAUAUUCAUCUAAAGCAUACAAGUCCCUAAUGUUAUCAAAUCCUAAAAUUUGAGCUCCUAGGGAGCAAAACAAUGUGUGUCUCCUAGAAAGGGCAUCAACUACCACAUUUGUUUUUCCCUUUUUGUAUUUGAUAACAUAUGGAAAUUGCUCUAGGUACUCUACCCAUUUUGCAUGCCUUUUGUUUAACUUUCUUUGCCCUCUAAUGAACUUAAGUGAUUGAUGAUCACUAUGAUUGACAAAUUCCUUGGAAACAAGGUAAUGUUCCCAAGUUCGGAGUGCUCUUAUUAAGGCAUAAAGCUCUUUAUCAUAGGUGGGGGUAGUUAAGGGUUGCACCAUGAAGUUUUUCACUAAAAUAAGCAAUAGGGUGCCCACCUUGUAACAAAACAACUCCAAUUCCCACUCCGGAGGCAUCACAUUCUAGCUCAAAAGUUUUAGAAAAGUCAGGAAGAGCUAGAACAUGUGCCUUAGUAAGCUUCUCUUUGAGCAAAGCAAAGGCUUGCUCUUGUUUUUCACCCCAGGUAAAUGCCACAUGCUUCUUUACCAACUCAUUGAGAGGUGAGACAAUUGUAGAGAAAUUAGGAACAAACCUUCUAUUGAAGCUUGCUAACCCAUGGAAGCUCCUAAUAUCUCCCACACUUUUUGGGGUGGGCCAUUCUUGGAUGGCCUUGAUUUUCUCAGGGUCGACUUGGACCCCAUUUCUACCAACUACAAAUCCUAAGAAAACUAUACUAUCUACAUAAAAGGUACACUUCUCUAUAUUUGCAUAGAGGGUGUUUUUCCUAAGGACCGAAAGAACUUGCCUAAGAUGUCCUAAGUGAUCAUCUAGGCUCCUAUUGUACACUAAAAUAUCAACAAAAUAAACAACUACAAAUCUACCUAUUAAAUCCCUUAAGACAUAAUGCAUAAGCCUCAUAAAGGAGCUUGGUGCAUUAGUGAGCCCAAAAGGCAUCACUAGCCAUUCUUACAAACCAAACUUGGUCUUGAAAGUGGUUUUCCACUCAUCACCCUUUUUCAUCCUGAUUUGGUGAUAACCACUUUUAAGAUCAAUUUUUGAAAAGAUGUUGGCACCAUGCAACUCAUCAAGUAAAUCAUCAAGUCUGGGAAUAGGGUGCCUAUACUUUACAGUAAUGUUGUUGAUGGCUCUGCAAUCUGUACACAUUCUCCAUGUACCAUCCUUUUUGGGCACCAACAACACUGGCACAACACAAGGGCUUAGGCUCUUUUGGACCCAACCCUUCUCCAACAAAUCUUUAACCUGAGACUCUAUCCCCUAAACAAAUCUUUAACCUGAGAUUCUAUGCCCUAAGUCUCCUGAGGGUUAGUCCUAUAGGCUAGCCUAUUAGGAAGGCUUGCUCCUGUGACUAAAUCUAUUUGAUGUUCUAUUCCCCUUAAAGGAGGUAGCCCAGGGGGUAUCUCUUUAGGAAAUAUAUCACCAAAUUUAUGUAAGAGUUCUUGGACCUUUGAAGGUAAGGUCUCACAUAUAGGAAUUUUGGCAGUGCUAAGGGAUGUUUCCCUUGAUAGGAGAAGGUAGAAAGAUUGUUUAAGAAGGAGUGUUCUUUUAAUAUCACCUUUUGUUGCAAAAUGAUUUUCCUUCUUAAAAAUCUUCUUGGAGGAAUCAUUUUCCUCUUUUCCUUUCCCCUUGGCCUUUGAAUACAAGGCCUUACUAUCCUUCUUUUUCUUUUGUUUUUCUAGUUUUUCUUCCUCAUCCCUCUUAUCUUUCAUAGUUAGUUGAUCUUUGGCCACCUGUGAAGAUGUUUGAGGAUGCAACACAAAUUUAGUGCCAAGAUGGGUGAGGGUAAUCUCAUUACUUAGACCAUUGUAAAUUAUCUUUCUAUCAAAUUGCCAUGGUCUUCCUAAAAGAAUAUGUCCAGCCUCCAUGGGAACUAUAUUACAAUUAACUUUAUCCUUAUAUGUCCCAAUGGAGAAAGGUACCUUCACUUGUUGGUUAACUAUCAUUUCCCCAUGCUCAGCCAUUGAAGUUUAUAAGGUUUUGGGUGGGGAAUGAUAGUGAGGUUCAACUUGGAAACUAAUCUUGUGCUACAACAAUUGCAACAAGAUCCACUACCCACAAUGAGAGAACAAGUUUUAUCUAAAAUUUUGCAUCUUGUAUGAAAUAUGUUCUCUCUUUGGGAUUGAGAUAGAUCACAAGAUUGACCUUCAAGGAGCCUUCUAACCAUUAAGAGGUCACCUUCUUCAUGGGGGUAGACUUCCUCACUAGACACUUCACCCCUUACUUCAUCUUCACUUCCACUAGAGGAAGGGCAAGAAGUAGUUUCCUCUUGACUACUAUAAAUGUCUUGACCCCUCAUAAUCAUGGUUUUCUUUGUGGGGCAUUGAGAGGCAAUGUGACCUCUUCCAAGACAUUUGAAGCAUUUAAUGUUGCUAGUCCUUUCUUGGGAACUAGUCUUAGGGGUGUAUUUCUCUAUGGUCUUACCUUUAUCUUCCUUGGGUUUUGAAGGUGUAGCCCCCAAAAUUCCUUGGGCUUGGUCCUUCCUUGGAUAAGAGUGAAAGCCAUAAGAUUUUGAAGAAGGCUUUCUUUUUAGUUGUUGUUCCACUCUUAUACAAAGUUGGAUUAGUUCAUCUAGGUCCCUAUAUGGAAGGAGUUCAACCUUGUCCCUUACUUCCAUAUUAAGCCCACUAAGGAACCUAGCUAUGCUUGUCCCUAAGUCCAGCUCUUAAAAAGAGUAGUUCCAUUUGUUGUCUAUAUUCUUCAACACUCAUACUCCCUUGUUUAAGCCUUUGGAGCUUGUCCACAAGCUCCCUUUCAUAGUAGGAGGGAAUGUGCCUCUUCCUAAGGGCACUCUUAAGAUCAUUCCAAUACUCUACUCGAGGAUCCCCAUGAAUCCUUCGUUCCCUAACAAGGGAAGUCCACCAAUAGAGGGCAUACCCUUGAAAGCUAAGGGCAGCCAAUGGAACUUUUCUCUCUUCGCUAAUAUGAUGGCAAGCAAAGAGUUGUUCAACCUUCAUUUCCCAAUCUAAGUAGACCUCAACAUUAUCUUUUCCAUGGAAAUAUGGAAGACUAAUGUUAACCUCUUGAGGCCUUUUAUCCUUUUCCCUUCUUUGGGAGUGAUGUUUAGUAUGUGAACUAUGGUGCCCUCUAUAAUAGUCGCUAAGUUCUUCACUUAAACUCUUGCAAGAGUCAUGACUACUAUAGGAGGCAUGUUUUUCUCUUUUCAUUUCUUUUAUUAUUUUCUUCUUUCUUCUUCCCUUAUUUUCUCUUUUUCAUCUUGACUUAUUUCGUCCACUCUUUUUUCCCUUUUUCUUUUCUCUCUUGUUUUUUUUCCAUAACUUGAGGGAACUCAACUCGUCUAAGAUUCUAGAUAAAGGGUCCUUAUGACUAGUACCGUCACCAUUAACACUAGUUGAAUGAUGACUUAUGUUGGUUCCUAAGUUGUAGUUCUUUCUUGUUGGGGGUUUUAAAACAAAAGGUAAAAGAAACUAUGGUUGAAACUAGCCAAAAUAAACACUUAAAGAGGUGUGAAAGAUAAGGUAAAAACUAAUUGGUAAAAGGUAAACUAUCUAGGCGGUUUGACAAUGGAAGGUAAAGGAAAUAAGCUAUUAAAGUAAGCAAGAAAAGUAAGCUAGGUGAAUCCUAAGAGUGUUUGGAUGACCACGUUCAAGGUUCCCAACAAAACACUCACUAUCCUAAAGAAAAAUUGCCUUAAAUUAUUACACACAAAUGGAAGUUUGGUAACCUAUUGGAGGCUCCCAACACACUUCCAAUGAAAGGCCUUUUUGUUACAAAACUUGAAAGCAAUGAAGGUAAGUAAAUUGCAAAUUAAAAAAUUACAAAACGUGCUCAAUUUUGGUGGUUGUUCUCUUUGGUGAUUCACUCAAUUUGGAGUGCUUCUUAGUCCAAUAGCUCUUAAGGUGGUUGGCCCCUUGCUUCUUGAAUCAAAUUCUUCAAGGGAUGGCACCAAUCCUCCUUUCCAAUUCCCUAUAUGGCAACUCACAAACAAGGAAACAAAGAGACAAGCAAUAACCAAAGACAAAAAAAUGAAAUGAAAGCUAAACCAAUGAAGUUUUAACAAGACAAUUUUCAAGGAUUAUUCAACAAUUAAAGCAAUGAAAAGGACAUAGAAGCAAGCUUGGACUCAAGGAGAAACAUAGAAUGGCUCUAGAGUAAAGUAAAAAAAAAAACUAUAAAAAAAAGACUCAACAAACCUCUAGCUUUGGCCCUUGUUUUUCACACUAAUUUUCAAUUGAAAUUUAGGAACUAAGAUUGGUAUAAAAUAGGCACCAAUUAUAGAAUAAAUUUUGAGCCAAAACAACAAGCAUACUUCCCUUUCACUUUUUUUUCCUGGAUACUGAUUUUUCUGCCAAAUUGUGUGAUGUUUAGUAUUUUUUCCUUUUAUCCAAAUCACUUGGUUCUUUUUUUAUAAAUUUUUUCUAGAUGUGUAGCAAAUUCAGUAAAAAUUUCAGCUCAAAAUUCGAAGUAACCAAUUCUCAGUAAUUUUUACAACUUUGUAUGUCCAAGCUGCCAACACCAGCGAUUUUUUUAAGCAUGGUAUAUUGAUUGCAUUGGGCUUACUUUCAACCUUCCUAUGUAUGUUGAACUCACUAGGAUUGUUUACCAUAGUUUUAGAAGUUUAAUAUUCACUUAGGAUCAACAUUUUAGUCAGCAAUUCAAUCACCAAAACUCAAAUUCACAAUAGACACAAUCAUAAGGAAACCUAAAAGUUCAAGAAAAGGUUCACAAUCAAAGACUCUCUAAGAAUUUUGCAUGAACAUGUUAAGGACUAAUUAACAUGAAAGAUUUGACUCAAAUCAAAUAAUAGGCUAAUAGAAUUUCAUACACUCAUGAACAAAUGAGUUAGACAAAGAAACAAGAAAAAUAAAAUUCAGCACAACAUCAGAAAUCUUAUGUGACAAGUUUCAUGACUAGACAUGACUUCUAUAACAAAACUACAAUAGGUGAACAAGUCACUCUAGAUUUUUGAGGUUUUAUUCUACUUUAAUAUUUUUUUAAGAAUUUUAUGGUUUAGGUUUCAGCCACAAAAAAUAACAAGACAAAACUCAAAGGAACCUAAACUCAACAUAAUUCAUGGUUCAAGAACAAGAACAAGAAAUUUGAACCAUAGAAAAUCAAAUCUAGCUUCUAUAGCAAGUUUAAUCGGUGGAAACUCUAAAGAAUCAUGUUAAAAAAAUUUAGCACAAGACAUGUGAGGAGAUACAUGGAGAAAAAUGAAUAAACAACAAUGGAAGAGAAGGUAAAGCAAAAAAUUAAUGGAGGUUUAAGGAUCACCUACUUGAAGCUCUUGUGCUCUGAUUACCACUUGAUGGAAGCUUGCUUGUGAAGCUUCUAUGGAGGCUGGAUCUUUGAGCUUCAAUGGUGAUUUUCCACCAUGGAGAUGCAGCGGAAGGCAAAGGAGAAGAGGAGAGGGGAGGCACCAUCCAUAAGGGAAUAAGGGGGGAGCACGAAAUUGAAGGAAUAAAAGAGGGAGAGAAGUGGAACUUUGAAGUGUGUCUCAUAAGACUUUCAUUCAUCAAAGUUACAACAAGUGUUACACAUGCUUCUAUUUAUAGACUAGGUAGCUUCCUUGAGAAGCUUUCUUGAGAAAACUUCCUUGAGAAGCUUCUUUGAGAAAACUUCCUUGAGAAGCUAGAGCUUAGCUACACACACCCCUCUAAAAGAUAAGCUCACCUCCUCGAGAAGCUAGAAGCUAGAGCUUAGCUACACACCCCCUAUGAUAGCUAAGCUCACCCGCAUGACAAAAUACAUGAAAAUACAAAAAGGUCCCUACUACAAAGACUACUCAAAAUGCCCUGAAAUACAAGGCUAAAACCCUAUACUACUAGAAUGGCCAAAAUACAAGGCCCAAAAGAAGAAAAAAACCUAUUCUAAUAUUUUCAAAGAAGAGUGGACCCAACCUUGGCCCAUGGACUCAAAAAUCUACCCUAAGGUUCAUGAGAACCCUAAGGCCUUCUUUAUCAGCUCUAGCCCAAUCCUCUUGGAGCCUCUUGCUCAUGGCUCUGGUAACUGGUCCUUUCCUAGGGAGGAUUGCAUCAUGUAUAGAAAUAUUGGGUUCACACAUGAGUACGUUGAUCCAUGAAUAGGGUUAUUGCAAUUUGACCAUGGUGGUGAAUGACAACCGAUAUUUCUUUAGGUGGAGCCAUGGGUGGUGUUUGGGGGAUGUGAGUGGGAAGACAAUGAGAGUUAGGAAUAGAGGUUAAUUUUGUGAGGAU